rnacentral:rRNA from 1 species
UUGCAAGUCGAGCCGGGCAGAUGGGAGCUUGCUCCCUGAUGUUAGCGGCGGACGGCUGAGUAACACGUGGGUAACCUGCCUGUAAGACUGGGAUAACUCCGGGAAACCGGGGCUAAUACCGGAUGGUUGUUUGAACCGCAUGGUUCAGACAUAAAAGGUGGCUUCGGCUACCACUUACAGAUGGACCCGCGGCGCAUUAGCUAGUUGGUGAGGUAACGGCUCACCAAGGCGACGAUGCGUAGCCGACCUGAGAGGGUGAUCGGCCACACUGGGACUGAGACACGGCCCAGACUCCUACGGGAGGCAGCAGUAGGGAAUCUUCCGCAAUGGACGAAAGUCUGACGGAGCAACGCCGCGUGAGUGAUGAAGGUUUUCGGAUCGUAAAGCUCUGUUGUUAGGGAAAAACAAGUGCCGUUCAAAUAGGGCGGCACCUUGACGGUACCUAACCAGAAAGCCACGGCUAACUACGUGCCAGCAGCCGCGGUAAUACGUAGGUGGCAAGCGUUCUCCGGAAUUAUUGGGCGAAAAGGGGGCG